UGGGGAAUAUUGCACAAUGGGCGCAAGCCUGAUGCAGCCAUGCCGCGUGUGUGAAGAAGGCCUUCGGGUUGUAAAGCACUUUCAGCGAGGAGGAAGGUGGUGGACUUAAUACGUUCAUCAAUUGACGUUACUCGCAGAAGAAGCACCGGCUAACUCCGUGCCAGCAGCCGCGGUAAUACGGAGGGUGCAAGCGUUAAUCGGAAUUACUGGGCGUAAAGCGCACGCAGGCGGUUUGUUAAGUCAGAUGUGAAAUCCCCGGGCUCAACCUGGGAACUGCAUUUGAAACUGGCAAGCUAGAGUCUCGUAGAGGGGGGUAGAAUUCCAGGUGUAGCGGUGAAAUGCGUAGAGAUCUGGAGGAAUACCGGUGGCGAAGGCGGCCCCCUGGACGAAGACUGACGCUCAGGUGCGAAAGCGUGGGGAGCAAACAGGAUUAGNUACCCUGGUAGUCCACGCUGUAAAACGAUGUCGAUUUGGAGGUUGUGCCCCUUGAGGCGUGGCUUCCGGAGCUAACGNGUUAAAUCGACCGCCUGGGGAGUACGGCC
rnacentral:rRNA from 1 species